rnacentral:rRNA from 1 species
UACGACGGGGGCUAGCGUUGCUCGGAAUUACUGGGCGUAAAGGGCGCGUAGGCGGAUAGUUUAGUCAGAGGUGAAAGCCCAGGGCUCAACCUUGGAAUUGCCUUUGAUACUGGCUAUCUUGAGUUCGGGAGAGGUGAGUGGAAUGCCGAGUGUAGAGGUGAAAUUCGUAGAUAUUCGGCGGAACACCAGUGGCGAAGGCGACUCACUGGCCCGAUACUGACGCUGAGGCGCGAAAGCGUGGGGAGCAAACAGG